AGGACGAACGCUGGCGGCGUGCUUAACACAUGCAAGUCGAACGGAAAGGCCUCUUUCGGGGGGUACUCGAGUGGCGAACGGGUGAGUAACACGUGAGUAACCUGCCCUUGACUUUGGGAUAACUUCAGGAAACUGGGGCUAAUACCGGAUAGGAGCUCCUGCUGCAUGGUGGGGGUUGGAAAGUUUCGGCGGUUGGGGAUGGACUCGCGGCUUAUCAGCUUGUUGGUGGGGUAGUGGCUUACCAAGGCUUUGACGGGUAGCCGGCCUGAGAGGGUGACCGGCCACAUUGGGACUGAGAUACGGCCCAGACUCCUACGGGAGGCAGCAGUGGGGAAUAUUGCACAAUGGGUGGAAGCCUGGUGCAGCAACGCCGUGUGCGGGAUGACGGCCUUCGGGUUGUAAACCGCUUUCGCUCAUGACGAAGCUUUGUGUGACGGUAGUGGGUAAAGAAGCACCGGCUAACUACGUG
rnacentral:rRNA from 1 species